AUGAAACAUCAAAGAAACAAGUCCACAUAUCUUCUAAAAAACCUGCAAAAAAGAGAUCUGCAAGCAGCCCUGUUAAGCCAUACCAAGACAUGCAUAGACAAAUGCAACGCAUCUCACUUUAAUUCAGAAAGUUCAAAUUGUGACAGUUCAAGAUCUAUGCACCUGAGCUCAUCAUGGUUGUAUCAAUUCAGAAUUAAAACAUACAUACACACAUAA